CGUAGGAGCGAGCGUUGUCCGGAUUCAUUGGGCGUAAAGCGCGCGUAGGCGGUUGGUAAGUCGGAUGUGAAAUCCCGAGGCUCAACCUCGUGACUGCAUCCGAUACUGCCCGACUAGAGGUAGGUAGGGAGAUCGGAAUUCCUGGUGUAGCGGUGAAAUGCGCAGAUAUCAGGAGGAACACCGGUGGCGAAGGCGGAUCUCUGGGCCUUACCUGACGCUGAGGCGCGAAAGCUAGGGAGCAAACAGGAUU
rnacentral:rRNA from 1 species